rnacentral:rRNA from 1 species
GAACGCUGGCGGCAGCCUAACACAUGCAAGUCGAACGGUAACAGGAAGCAGCUUGCUGCUUCGCUGACGAGUGGCGGACGGGUGAGUAAUGUCUGGGAAGCUGCCUGAUGGAGGGGGAUAACUACUGGAAACGGUAGCUAAUACCGCAUAAUGUCGCAAGACCAAAGAGGGGGACCUUCGGGCCUCUUGCCAUCGGAUGUGCCCAGAUGGGAUUAGCUUGUUGGUGGGGUAACGGCUCACCAAGGCGACGAUCCCUAGCUGGUCUGAGAGGAUGACCAGCCACACUGGAACUGAGACACGGUCCAGACUCCUACGGGAGGCAGCAGUGGGGAAUAUUGCACAAUGGGCGCAAGCCUGAUGCAGCCAUGCCGCGUGUAUGAAGAAGGCCUUCGGGUUGUAAAGUACUUUCAGCGGGGAGGAAGGGAGUAAAGUUAAUACCUUUGCUCAUUGACGUUACCCGCAGAAGAAGCACCGGCUAACUCCGUGCCAGCAGCCGCGGUAAUACGGAGGGUGCAAGCGUUAAUCGGAAUUACUGGGCGUAAAGCGCACGCAGGCGGUUUGUUAAGUCAGAUGUGAAAUCCCCGGGCUCAACCUGGGAACUGCAUCUGAUACUGGCAAGCUUGAGUCUCGUAGAGGGGGGUAGAAUUCCAGGUGUAGCGGUGAAAUGCGUAGAGAUCUGGAGGAAUACCGGUGGCGAAG